AUGUUUGCAUUUACUUCGAUGGGUGGCCAGGUCGACUACGAGAUAAACAGAAAAGGGGGUGCACCGUAUGUUUUUCGCUUGAAUGGCCAAAACUAUCAUCAAAUUGGCACAUUGCUGUCUAAAGAUAACGGAGAUAAUGCUAUCAGGCCAAAGUUUGCUCAAUUGUACAUUUAUGAUACAGAAAAUGAGGUCAGAAACAGACUGCAGGCUUCAACCUCAAAGGAAAGGAAAACACAACUUGAUGAAGGCAUUGUGUCUGGAUUAUUGCAGAUGCUUGAUGAUCACAAUGAGUUAGUGAAAUCAUUCCGUAUGGCAAGGGAUAGAUACCAAGAGUCAGAUCUUGAAAAUGUUAGGUUGCGAUUAAUUGGUACAAGAUCUAGUGAUGGAAGACAAUACAACCUACCAACUGCAUCUGAAAUAGCUGCACUCAUUGUUGGGGAACAGACAGGAGAAAAUGUUGAACGUGAUAUAAUAGUAGAAAACAAAGACAAACAACUCCAGCGAAUUUCGGAACUACAUCCAAGCUUUAUGUCUAUGCAAUACCCAUUAUUAUUCCCGUACGGAGAAGAUGGAUUCAGACCAGAAAUAGAAUUAGAGAAAAAAAGGUGUCGAAGGAAAGAGAAAGUAUGUUACCAUGAUGGAGUAUUAUGCAUAUCGCAUCCAGCAGCGACUGAACCAGUCAGUAGUCUUGCAAACGAGUGGCAAACUAUUCCUUCAGUUCAUCAUAGACGCAGCAACAUGCGUUGA
rnacentral:rRNA from 1 species